rnacentral:rRNA from 1 species
GACGAACGCUGGCGGCGUGCUUAACACAUGCAAGUCGAACGGAAAGGCCCUGCUUUUGUGGGGUGCUCGAGUGGCGAACGGGUGAGUAACACGUGAGUAACCUGCCCUUGACUUUGGGAUAACUUCAGGAAACUGGGGCUAAUACCGGAUAGGAGCUCCUGCUGCAUGGUGGGGGUUGGAAAGUUUCGGCGGUUGGGGAUGGACUCGCGGCUUAUCAGCUUGUUGGUGGGGUAGUGGCUUACCAAGGCUUUGACGGGUAGCCGGCCUGAGAGGGGGACCGGCCACAUUGGGACUGAGAUACGGCCCAGACUCCUACGGGAGGCAGCAGUGGGGAAUAUUGCACAAGGGGCGGAAGCCUGAUGCAGCAACGCCGCGUGCGGGAUGACGGCCUUCGGGUUGUAAACCGCUUUCGCCUGUGACGAAGCGUGAGUGACGGUAAUGGGUAAAGAAGCACCGGCUAACUACGUG